AUUUAUGUAUUUAACUAAUCAAAUUUGUAUUAUUUACAGACAACCAAUGUCCAUGUCAAAAGAGCGUCUAUUCUUCAAGCUCUCUUUACCUACCUUGGUGAGGAUGAGGCAUGCCUGGUGAAAGAAUACAUGGGCAAUCAAAAAGAAGAAUUUUUGAAGGACCUGACAAACACCGCCAUGGCCAUAUGUGUCAUCAAAAA